GCGGAUAUGGCGGAAUGGCAGACGCGCUGGAUUUAGGUUCCAGUCCGAAGAGGGUGCAGGUUCAAGUCCUGUUAUCCGCACCA
rnacentral:tRNA from 1 species